ensembl:lncRNA
GGAAGGAAUCUCCGUGCAGCCACGAGUGAGCUGGGCUGUUCCCUGACCCACCUCUCCUCUGUGGUGCCCUUCUCUGUCCUCCUGGCUGCUUCAGGUGGUUUUGUCCUUUUUUAUUGCCUUUGGCUUCAGCCUAGUGGCUUUAGGUGCCAGAAAAUCAGAUUAACCACUGCAGCAGUGUCCUUCUCAGGGACCUGGGGGCCACCUUGGUCAUUCUGCCCAUUGUAUCUGGAGAGCUUGACAGACAGACAUGUGUGCGCCAGGUCAGGAAGUCACAGCCCUGUCCUGGGAAGGGCAGGUGGGAGAAAGCCCCCAGUCCCCUCCACCCUCGGGGAAUGGCCCAGUUGUCCACAGCCUAACUCAGGAACCUCGGUGAACAGGGCAAACCAGAGACUGCCCAGUCCCAGCAUCCACCCCAAGGGCGUGGCCUCCUUUGCCUCCUACCCCAGCUCCCAGCUGCUGCAGCUGUGUGGGUCUGACUGUGCCCAGGGUGCCUCCCCGUCUCAGACAGCACCCACCUUCAGGCCAGGCCUUCCACAGGAGGCUCAUAAACGCUGCCUUGUGAGCGUAUCAUUCCUGGAGCACACCUGCCAUGCAGCAUCAUUGCAUCACAACGCCCACCAGGAGCAGAUUGCCAGGCCGCGUUCUCUGGGUGUGAACAACAACAGCAACAAACCUGUGGCUAGUUCUUCAGUCAACAAAUUGGUAUUCGAAAGGCUGUCAUCGCUAGUACGGACGUCAUCGGUGAAUGAGAAGGCAGAGCCCGCAGCCGCACCUAAUAAAAGGCCAGCAGGGAGAUACAAUCUGCUGUGAUUGUGCAAUGAUGGGACAGAGGCCGGGGGUCACUAGUCCAGGUGCAGUUUUGAGUCCUCACGCAGUCUUUAAAAUGUGAUAAGGAAUGUAACUUUGAACUCAAUAACCUUUCCACCACGCUGUGAGCUAAAGGCAAAUACAACGGGUGGCCGGCCCCUGCCAGAGACAGGCACUGCGGGCCGCCCUCUCUCCAGGCAGGGCGGGGCACCCUGAGUGCUCAGUGGGCUUCCCAGCCCUCAGUCCCCAGACAGUGAGGGUCCCCGUCCUGCUGGGUGCCCCCCACCCCAGCUCCUGAGCCACAUGGUCACGGCUGGGGAAGCACAAUCCCAACCCUCAGGAAGGGUUUGUCAUCUUGCAACUCAGGACCCCUGGGCCAAUCACAGCAGCCUCAGCCUCAGUUUCCCUCUUGUUCAUUUCCCAUGUACUCCAGGGACCUCCCGAGGGACGUUCCCUUCCCAGAUAAGGCUGAAGUAAACCCUGGCAUGCAGGUGGGGUUGGGGGGGGGGGUCCUGGAGGGGACAUGCCUUGCUAAAGCCACCAAGCCCCCAGCAGUGCGCAAAGAUGGACAGGAGGGCGGCAGGGGCAUAGCUGGGCUCCAUGGAGUGGGG